CAAAAAUCUAAGAACUCACAUGGAUCGUUACCAUGUCCACAUUUGAAUGAGCCGCUUACAAAGGUGCAAAUGAUUUAGAGUGACUCAUUGGCAUGGUUCCACCUUAACCAGUGCUUGAGAAAACUCCUGAAGACGGUUUUUUGACUUGACUGCAUCCAAGUUGGUUAUACUAGUUGGAAAUGAAUGGCGCCAGAUGGCAGAGCCACAGGUAAGAGUCCUAACCCCUAAGUCUCUGCUUGGAGCACAGGUGCCAGGAGAGCUGCCUGACCCUAACUGGACUGUGACAUGAGAGAGAAGUAAACUUUUAUCCUGGUAAGCCACUGAAAUUUGGGAGUUCUUGUUACAGCAGCAAGCAUUGCUUUUCCUGACUUAUACAUCCUUUUCAUCUCAGGUCCUGCCAUCAUCCUAGGUGAUUUCUGAGUGCACAUGGAUGACCCUUCAAAAGCCUGAGCCUUACAGUUCCUCUUAACCUCAUGAACCUUCAUAACCUCAUUUCCUUUAUUGGCGUUGACGACAGUCCUAGAGCUUUUCAUUCCCUAGAGUGUCUACUCCUCAACAAUUAUAAAUUUCAACAGCCACUCUCAUCCACAACUUCCUUUCCCUGCAGUGCGGCCACUUCCUUGUUCUUCAAGCCCCUCGAGAUCUUACUUACUUUUCUCUUGUACCUUCCUGCCUUCACUUCCUUCCCUUCCAAUCUGUAUUCGUCGACUUGGGCUGCUGUAACAAAACACCAUAGACCAGGUAGCUUAAACAACAGAAAUCUAUUUUCUCACAGUUUUGAUGGCUAGAGAUCAAAGAUCAAGGUUUUGGCCAAUUUGGUUUCUAGGGAGAGCUCUCUUUCUG
rnacentral:lncRNA from 1 species